CUGGCUCAGGACGAACGCUGGCGGCGUGCCUAAUACAUGCAAGUCGAGCGGACAGAAGGGAGCUUGCUCCCGGAUGUUAGCGGCGGACGGGUGAGUAACACGUGGGUAACCUGCCUGUAAGACUGGGAUAACUCCGGGAAACCGGAGCUAAUACCGGAUAGUUCCUUGAACCGCAUGGUUCAAGGAUGAAAGACGGUUUCGGCUGUCACUUACAGAUGGACCCGCGGCGCAUUAGCUAGUUGGUGGGGUAAUGGCUCACCAAGGCGACGAUGCGUAGCCGACCUGAGAGGGUGAUCGGCCACACUGGGACUGAGACACGGCCCAGACUCCUACGGGAGGCAGCAGUAGGGAAUCUUCCGCAAUGGACGAAAGUCUGACGGAGCAACGCCGCGUGAGUGAUGAAGGUUUUCGGAUCGUAAAGCUCUGUUGUUAGGGAAGAACAAGUGCGAGAGUAACUGCUCGCACCUGACGGUACCUAC
rnacentral:rRNA from 1 species